rnacentral:rRNA from 1 species
GUGGGGAAUCUUGCGCAAUGGGCGAAAGCCUGACGCAGCCAUGCCGCGUGAAUGAUGAAGGUCUUAGGAUUGUAAAAUUCUUUCGCCGGGGACGAUAAUGACGGUACCCGGAGAAGAAGCCCCGGCUAACUUCGUGCCAGCAGCCGCGGUAAUACGAAGGGGGCUAGCGUUGCUCGGAAUUACUGGGCGUAAAGGGCGCGUAGGCGGACAGUUUAGGCAGAGGUGAAAGCCCAGGGCUCAACCUUGGAAUUGCCUUUGAUACUGGCUGUCUUGAGUACGGGAGAGGUGAGUGGAACUCCGAGUGUAGAGGUGAAAUUCGUAGAUAUUCGGAAGAACACCAGUGGCGAAGGCGACUCACUGGCCCGUUACUGACGCUGAGGCGCGAAAGCGUGGGGAGCAAACAGGAUUAGAAACCCUGGUAGUCC